rnacentral:snRNA from 1 species
GUGUUUGCUUCAGGAGCACACAUACUAAAAAUUGGAAUGAUACAGAGAUUAGCAUGACCCCGGUGCACGAGUGACACACAAAUUCAUGAAGUGUUCCAUAUUUUA